rnacentral:tRNA from 1 species
AGCCCCCUGGUGUAAUGGCAGCACACGAGCCUUUGGAGCUCAUGGUCCAGGUUCGAAUCCUGGGGGGGCUG